rnacentral:pre_miRNA from 1 species
ACUUGUUAGAAGGUUACUUGUUAGUUCAGGAACUCAUUAUUUCCUGCCUGAACUAUUGCAGUAGCCUCCUAACUGGUCA